rnacentral:lncRNA from 1 species
UUCAGUGGGAUGCAUGGUGGCAGCGACGAACUUCGACGGUGGCGCGUGGGCUUCCGACGGUGAUUUCGGGCGAACUUCCUUCGGGCAGUUUGCUCAUUUCAAUCCCCUGAACGCAUCGACACUGUUUAUUUUCUGUUUCAGGUUAUACAGAAAAAGUUGGACAAUUUUGCCACUGAAUUACUUUAGGCCAAAAUUGCGGCCAUAAAACAGUAGAUUUGCAUCUCUCUCGAUUAUACAGACUCAGACACAUUCGCU